UGGGGAAUCUUGGACAAUGGGCGCAAGCCUGAUCCAGCCAUGCCGCGUGAGUGACGAAGGCCUUAGGGUUGUAAAGCUCUUUUGGCGGGGACGAUAAUGACGGUACCCGCAGAAUAAGCCCCGGCUAACUUCGUGCCAGCAGCCGCGGUAAUACGAAGGGGGCUAGCGUUGUUCGGAAUUACUGGGCGUAAAGCGCACGUAGGCGGAUUUGUCAGUCAGGGGUGAAAUCCCGAGGCUCAACCUCGGAACUGCCUCCGAUACAGCAAGUCUCGAGUCCGGAAGAGGUGAGUGGAAUUCCUAGUGUAGAGGUGAAAUUCGUAGAUAUUCGCAGGAACACCAGUGGCGAAGGCGACUUGCUGGACUUGUAGUGACGCUGAGACGCGAAAGCGUGGGGAGCAAACAGGAUUAGAUACCCUUGUAGUCCCUGAGCGGGCUGGCAAGGCGCAU
rnacentral:rRNA from 1 species